GUGCAAGUAGUAGACAGGUAUGUGAAGAUGAAAGAAAAACAAGCAGAAGAUGAGAAGGCCGAGUCGAGUACAUUCUCCAUUGCCAAGUGCAUUGCAGCUGUAAACAAAAUCCAAGACUUCACCCGUCAAGAGAGAGUUAAGGCUUCAAAAGUCUUCAAAAGUCUUGAAAACCGCGAGACCUUCCUCACUUGGGUCACUGAAGACGAGGAGUCAGCUAUCAUGUGGCUCCGGGGUGAGCUGCAAGAGUUGACUUGAGCUGGAGGUCCUCUGGCGGCGGCGUGGUUUCCGGCGUUCGGCGGCGAAAACUUCUAAUGUUCUUCAAACUCUAUGACAAUGUGUUUAUGGCGACUUGGUUGCUCAUCUGUUUGGUCGAGCAUUUAUUUAUAUUUGUGUUCUUGUUUGAGAAAAUCGCAUGACAAAUUUGCAUGACACGAAGUUUAUGUUAAAGCCGAAGUUUUAAAUUUACUGAUUGUCAAUUAUCA